rnacentral:rRNA from 1 species
UGAAUACGAGAUGCUACGGCGUCGAAGCAGUCUAUGUCAUACUUCCAAGAAAAGCUUGCACUGUCAUAAACAAAUAAUGCCUGUACCAUAACCGACACAGGUGGGUAGGUAGAGUAUACUAAGGGGCGCGAGAUAACUCUCUCUAAGGAACUCGGCAAAAUGACUCCGUAACUUCGGGAGAAGGAGUGCCUUAUUUAUAUGUUGCAAUAACAAGAUCCAAGCAACUGUUUACCAAAAACACAGGUCUCCGCUAAGUCGUAAGACGAUGUAUGGGGGCUGACGCCUGCCCAGUGCCAGAAGGUUAAAGAAGUUGGUUAGCAUCCGCGAAGCUGAUAACUGAAGCCCUGGUGAACGGCGGCCGUAACGAUAACGGUCCUAAGGUAGCGAAAUUCCUUGUCGGGUAAGUUCCGACCCGCACGAAAGGCGUAAUGAUUUGGAUACUGUCUCGGAGAGGGGCUCGGUGAAAUAGACUUGUCUGUGAAGAUGCGGACUACCUGCACCAGGACAGAAAGACCCUAUGAAGCUUUACUGUAACCUGAAAUUGAAAUUGGACUUUACUUGCGCAGUAUAGGUGGGAGGCGUUGAGAAUAUUCUUGCGGGAUUAUUGGAGCCAUCAGUGAGAUACCACUCUUGUAAUGUUAGAUUUCUAACUUUGUAUCAUUAUCUGGUCAAAGAACAGUUUCAGGCGGGCAGUUUGACUGGGGCGGUCGCCUCCUAAACGGUAACGGAGGCGCACAAAGGUUUCCUCUGAACGGGUAGAAAUCGUAUCUAGAGUGUAAAGGCAUAAGGAAGCUUGACUGUGAGACCUACAAGUCGAGCAGGGACGAAAGUCGGUCUUAGUGAUCUGACGGUGCUGAGUGGAAAGGCCGUCACUCAACGGAUAAAAGUUACUCUAAGGAUAACAGGCUGAUCUCCCCCAAGAGUUCACAUCGACGGGGAGGUUUGGCACCUCGAUGUCGGCUCAUCGCAUCCUGGGGCGGUAGUACGUCCCAAGGGUUGGGCUGUUCGCCCAUGAAAGCGGUACGCGAGCUGGGUUCAGAACGUCGUGAGACAGUUCGGUCCAUAUCCGGUGUAGGCGUUAGAAUAUUGAGAGGAGCCUUCUUUAGUACGAGAGGACCGAGAAGGACAUACCUCUGGUGUACCAGUUAUCGUGCCAACGGUAAACGCUGGGUAGCUAUGUGUGGAGUGGAUAACCGCUGAAAGCAUCUAAGUGGGAAGCCCACCUCAAGAUAAGUAUUCUC